rnacentral:lncRNA from 1 species
GGCUCGGACGUGUCCAGGCGGCGGCCUGCGGGCUUUGCUGGUCACCCUGCCGCUGAUGUGAGUGCAGAGCCGGAGUCUGUUGACCCAGGGCUGGCCUGCUCCUGGCCUCUCCCGAGUGGCCCAGCUGCAGUGUGGCCGCGAAGGGCCCUGGGAGCGGCCUUCACGGAUCCCGGUGGGGGCUGUGGGCUGGUGUCUGAGUCAGAGGACGGAGGAAGACAGGAGUGGACGGCCGCCAGGGGCCGAGCACAUCUCUCGGCGGGAUUUCAGAGGCCGCGGCCGUCCCGGCAAACCACGGUGACACGUGACCGUGCACUGGUAUCUAGGAGGAGCCCGACCCCGGGAAUCGGCUCCUGUGAUCAUGGAGCCCGAGGAGUUCCACGAAACGCUGUUGGCAAGCUGGACAGGCAGGACAGCGGAGCUGAGACUCAGACUGAGGAGGUCCUGCAGGGUCGGGGGGGUGGGGGCGGCCCUGGCCUGCAUCUGAGUUUGAAGACUUGGGAGCUUUGGGGUCCUUUGGGUGUCCCAUCCCCAGCAGAGAGAGCACAGUGGCCUCCUCCACGGUUUGUCCACCCAGCCCAUGCCCAUCCACCUGGGUGGACUUCACUCAGUCCACAGAGUGAGGGGCUAAGCUCUUCCAACAACGCUCAGAGAUAAAGUGUGGUGUCCCUUAACCCUGGCACGGUGACACUGAAGGUUAGCCGUCACACCAGACUGCACAGCCAGCCCCAGCUGGGUUAACUCAGGGCACGUGGAUCUGCUUAGACCAAGCACGACCACAGGGCACCGUGGCCGCUGGCUGCAUGUGGCUUUCCACGGGAGGCUGACCAAACUCUCUGGGAUCCCCCAAGCAGUGCAUCAGGAACCAGGAUGUGGUGUGUGAUGGGAAGGGAGGGAGCGGGGUGACGUGGCCUCCCCUCAGCUUAUCCUGGAUUCCCUCUGAAGCAGGCCCUGACCCCAUCCUGGGAUCCACACCCAGCCAUCCCCUUGUCGGUGGGCUCUACCUCUGCACAGCCAACCAAUGGCAGGUGGAAGAGACUUGGGGGAAAAACCCCACAUCGAUAAAAAAGAACAAUACAACAACAAGAAAAGUGUGAAGAAAAAAUCGACAUCACCACUGUUCACGUAGCAUUGACAUUGUGUUAGGCGUGACGAGUAACCCAGGGACUGUUUAAAGGACAGGGAGGAAGCACUUAGGUCACAUCCAAGCACCACUGCUGUCAUUCCUAUAAGGGACUCGAGCCACCUCAGAGGUAGGUGACCAUGGGGACCUGGAGCACAUCGUCUUUGGAUCCCGGUCCCCUCCUCCAGGUGCGAGGUAGCUGGGGAGCUGCUUCUGGUCUGCUGUGCUCAGGGCCCAGGGCCGAAGGUCAGGUGCCUGAUCAGACUUGUCACCAGUGCGCCCAGGAGCACACAGGGCCCAGGGGCUGAGGGUGGGUCUUGCUGCACCUGGCUCCCGCUCCGUCUCCGCUGCCCUGGACCAAGCCGGGCCUGCCGCUGUCCCCCUCUUCCUUGGGUUCCCCGCGGCUGUUGAGAGGUGCUGACUACCUCCUGUCCCGUCCUUUGGGGUGCAGAGCCACCGUCAUCUCGGCAGACCUUGGCCCAGCUGCCAACUCUUCUCUUCGUCUGGCCUCCCCGGCCGCCCACUGGGACAGGCAGCAGCAGGACGUGCUGGGCCGGGAGGGGACUGGGAGCUCCGCAGCAGGCUGCCUGGGCCUCCCGAGGGGAGGACUGCCUCCCCUCCCGCUGCCCCAGCCCUGACUCACAGGACACUGGAAAGAGGACAUGAAAUGCCCACAGCUCCAGGGUUCCACGGGGCCACAGGAUCUGGAUCUCUCCAGGGAGAGGAGGGAGUGCCGCAGCCGGGGCCCACGGGGCCACGGAACCUCAUCGGCGGGUGUCCAUAUCUGUGGUCUGUGUUCUGGGGCUGCUUUUCCUGUCCCUCACAGCCAUCCUGACCGCUCCUGUCAUCGAGGGGGCCUGGGCUUCUGCACAGGGAGGCGGAGGCCUCCCUCGUUCAUGGACGAGGCAGGUCUUGCCAGACCAGCACCAGGAGCGGUCAGGCCUGGUCAGAAGUUUUAAUGAAGAGAACAAGAAAUGGUGGGCGGGCACGGGCGGGGGCGGGCGGCUGUGAUUCCAUCUUCCCUUUUGGCAGAAACUAACUUCUCUGCGAGAACAAUGAGAAGUCGGGGUGGAGUUUCCCCUGCCACUCAGCACCCCCAGGAAAGUGCUGUGGCUGCGAGGGCUGGACGGCUCUGCCUGCUGAGCAGGCCUGGAGGGCUGGUCAGUGGCCGCCCGGCUCUGCUGCCUUGCCUGACCCUGAUGUCCUGAGCCCUUCCUGCUGCGCAGACCGCCACACCGUGGCCUAGACCACAGCAUCUGUCGUGUGAAGGCUACUGUUCCCCCGCAGGGCUGGCCUUGGCGAUGUCCUGGGGUCAGUGGAGAGGCAGGCUGGGCAAUGCUGGCCAGGCAGGGGCUGGGGACACGGGACGGCUUCCUUUCCCAGGAAGGAGGGCUUCUUGGAGCAGGGCACCUCACUGGACUCCUGAGUCUGGCACAGCUACGACCCCAAUCCGGGUGGUAGACACAGUCCACAGCCAAGCUGGCCCCUUGCUGGCUGCGUGGUGGCCACUGUACCCUGUGCCUUUCCUGUACCCAGGGUCCCUCUGGGCUUCCUGGGCGUCCGGUCCUGCCUUAUAAAGCUGCUCUCAACUCCACUCAAAGACCCAGUUCCAAGCCCGGCUGGGCCUCCUUGCUGCGGGGGACAGGGACGGGGGCUUCCGGAUACUCGGACAUGGACAACUCCACUGGCCUGCGUCUCUCUUUGUCAAAGGGAGGCCCCGGGCAGGCCGGUUGUCAUUAGGGAAAGCUCGGCAUAGAGUCCACGGGAUAAAAAUGCCGCACCCCUUG